UGGGGAAUAUUGGGCAAUGGGGGAAACCCUGACCCAGCGACGUCGCGUGAGGGAAGAAAUCCUUUGGGAUGUAAACCUCUGUUGUACGGGAAGAAUUAAGUGACGGUACCGUACGAGGAAGCCCCGGCAAACUACGUGCCAGCAGCCGCGGUAAUACGUAGGGGGCGAGCGUUGUCCGGAAUUACUGGGCGUAAAGCGCACGCAGGCUGAUUGUUAAGUCGGUUGUAAAAGACUUGGGCUUACCCCAAGCAGGUCGACCGAUACUGGCAGUCUUGAGUGUGAGAGAGGAAAGUAGAAUUCCCGGUGUAGCGGUGAAAUGCGUAGAUAUCGGGAGGAAUACCAGUGGCGAAGGCGGCUUUCUGGCUCACAACUGACGCUCAGGUGCGAAAGCUAGGGUAGC
rnacentral:rRNA from 1 species